rnacentral:rRNA from 1 species
GGGUGCUAGCGUUGCUCGGAAUCACUGGGCGUAAAGGGUGCGUAGGCGGGUCUUUAAGUCAGGGGUGAAAUCCUGGAGCUCAACUCCAGAACUGCCUUUGAUACUGAAGAUCUUGAGUUCGGGAGAGGUGAGUGGAACUGCGAGUGUAGAGGUGAAAUUCGUAGAUAUUCGCAAGAACACCAGUGGCGAAGGCGGCUCACUGGCCCGAUACUGACGCUGAGGCACGAAAGCGUGGGGAGCAAACAGG